UUAUUGACGCUGUAUUUUGAAGCAUGAUGAAAGUUAUUCUGGUCCACCAAUACUUCAUGCAUCAGCUGAAAGAUUGAGUAGGCAGGGUGUCUACAUUUUGGAUAAUUGCAAAAAAUUAUAUAUAUUCGUUGGAAGAGAUACCCAAGAUAGUGUAGUUCAGUGUCUAUUUAAUGUAUCCAAUAUUUCUAUGGUUCCAGAAUUAUCAAGUCGUUUACCAGAAUUGAAUAACAACUUGAGCUUAAAGAUCAGAAAGUUUAUUGAAGAUUUAAGAAAAGACAGACCAUUUUAUUCUCCAUUAGAAGUUAUUAGGGAAGAUGGUAAACACCGAUUCUUGUUUUUGAGCAAUUUAAUUGAUGAUCGAACAGAAUCUUCUAUGUCUUACAUCGAAUUUCUCCAGCAUAUCCAAAGACAAAUGAACAGUUAAUUUUAACGUCGUCGCCUUUUUAACAAUUAUGCACCAUCCCCUUUUCUUGUCGCUCUAUAAACCUUUUUUAUCAAGUCGUGUCGUGUUGCUUAUUAAAUUUUCCUUUUCUAUUACCACGCAAGGUUUCAUAGACUUGGAUAUUUAAGCCCGAGCAGUGAUAGCUAACUUGAAAAUUGAACUAAUUUAUUGAUUUUUUAAUUAUUUACUUUUCUGAACAAGUUAAUGGAUUGACAUGUUAAAAGUUUGUUCUCUUUUUAUAUAUUUUCGUUAAUAUAUAAAACAUUACAAAUAUUUUAUUUAAAUUUUUUCUCGUUAUAUGACAUUAAAAUAUAUUUAAUUACGUUUUUAUUGGAAUAUGGUUUCUUCAUUUUCUUUUUAAAAGACAUUAUUAUGCGAUAUUGCAGCUGAAUUUUUUAGUAUUUGUGAAACCUGAAUAUUGUAAAAGCUAAUAUUAAAUAAAUUUAUAGU
rnacentral:lncRNA from 1 species